UGGGGAAUAUUGCACAAUGGACGGAAGUUUGAUGCAGCGACGCCGCGUGGAGGGUGUAGGCCUUCGGGUUGUGAACUCCUUUUUCUCGCGAAAAAGGCACAGUUUUGGUUGUGUUGAUGGUAGUGGGGGAAGAAGCGCCGGCUAACUACGUGCCAGCAGCCGCGGUAAUACGUAGGGCGCGAGCGUUGUCCGGAUUUAUUGGGCGUAAAGAGCUCGUAGGUGGUUCGUCGCGUCUGUCGUGAAAGCCAGCAGCUUAACUGUUGGUCUGCGGUGGGUGCGGGCGGGCUUGAGUGCGGUAGGGGUGACUGGAGUUCCUGGUGUAGCGGUGGAAUGCGCAGAUAUCAGGAGGAACACAGAUGGCGAAGGCAGGUCACUGGGCCGUUACUGACACUGAGGAGCGAAAGCGUGGGGAGCGAACAGG
rnacentral:rRNA from 1 species